UUAUACAGCGAAACUGCGAAUGGCUCAUUAUAUAAGUUAUCGUUUAUUUGAUAGUACUUUACUACUUGGAUAACCGUGGUAAUUCUAGAGCUAAUACAUGCUAAAAAUCCCGACUUCGGAAGGGAUGUAUUUAUUAGAUUAAAAACCAAUGCCCUUCGGGGCUGACUGGUGAUUCAUGAUAACUCCUCGAAUCGCAUGGCCUUGCGCCGGCGAUGGUUCAUUCAAAUUUCUUCCCUAUCAACUUUCGAUGUUUGGGUAUU
rnacentral:rRNA from 1 species